ensembl:lincRNA
AUGAGAAACCCAGAAAGACACAGGAGCCCAGGUGAGGUCUUCCCAGAGGAGAUUUUCCUGAGCCUGGGCAUGAGAAACCCAGAAAGACACAGGAGCCCAGGUGAGGUCUUCCCAGAGGAGAUUUUCCCGAGCCUGGGCAUGAGAUACCAACCAAGACCCAGGAGCCCAGGAGAGGUCUUCCCAGAGGACAUUUUCCCGGGCCUGGGCAUGAGAAACCCAGAAAGACACAGGAGCCCAGGUGAGGUCUUCCCAGAGGAGAUUUUCCCGAGCCUGGGCAUGAGAUACCAACCAAGACCCAGGAGCCCAGGAGAGGUCUUCCCAGAGGACAUUUUCCCGGGCCUGGGCAUGAGAAACCCAGAAAGACACAGGAGCCCAGGAGAGGUCUUCCCAGAGGAGAUUUUCCCGAGCCUGGGCAUGAGAUACCAACCAAGACCCAGGAGCCCAGGAGAGGUCUUCCCAGAGGACAUUUUCCCGGGCCUGGGCAUGAGAAACCCAGAAAGACACAGGAGCCCAGGAGAGGUCUUCCCAGAGGAGAUUUUCCCGAGCCUGGGCAUGAGAUACCAACCAAGACCCAGGAGCCCAGGAGAGGUCUUCCCAGAGGACAUUUUCCCGGGCCUGGGCAUGAGAAACCCAGAAAGACACAGGAGCCCAGGAGAGGUCUUCCCAGAGGAGAUUUUCCCGAGCCUGGGCAUGAGAUACCAACCAAGACCCAGGAGCCCAGGAGAGGUCUUCCCAGAGGACAUUUUCCCGGGCCUGGGCAUGAGAAACCCAGAAAGACACAGGAGCCCAGGAGAGGUCUUCCCAGAGGAGAUUUUCCCGAGCCUGGGCAUGAGAUACCAACCAAGACCCAGGAGCCCAGGAGAGGUCUUCCCAGAGGACAUUUUCCCGGGCCUGGGCAUGAGAAACCCAGAAAGACACAGGAGCCCAGGAGAGGUCUUCCCAGAGGAGAUUUUCCCGAGCCUGGGCAUGAGAUACCAACCAAGACCCAGGAGCCCAGGAGAGGUCUUCCCAGAGGACAUUUUCCCGGGCCUGGGCAUGAGAAACCCAGAAAGACACAGGAGCCCAGGAGAGGUCUUCCCAGAGGAGAUUUUCCCGAGCCUGGGCAUGAGAUACCAACCAAGACCCAGGAGCCCAGGAGAGGUCUUCCCAGAGGACAUUUUCCCGGGCCUGGGCAUGAGAAACCCAGAAAGACACAGGAGCCCAGGAGAGGUCUUCCCAGAGGAGAUUUUCCCGAGCCUGGGCAUGAGAAACCCAGAAAGACACAGGAGCCCAGGUGAGGUCUUCCCAGAGGACAUUUUCCCGAGCCUGGGCAUGAGAUACCAACCAAGACCCAGGAGCCCAGGAGAGGUCUUCCCAGAGGACAUUUUCCCGGGCCUGGGCAUGAGAAACCCAGAAAGACACAGGAGCCCAGGAGAGGUCUUCCCAGAGGAGAUUUUCCCGAGCCUGGGCAUGAGAUACCAACCAAGACCCAGGAGCCCAGGAGAGGUCUUCCCAGAGGAGACUUUCCCAAGCCUGGGCAUGAGAAACCCAGAAAGACACAGGAGCCCAGGAGAGGUCUUCCCAGAGGACAUUUUCCUGGGCCUGGGCAUGACAAACCCACAAAGACCUGGAAGCCCAGGGGAAGUUCUUCCAGAGAUCUUCCCAGGCUUGGCCAUGGAGCCCCAACAAACACCUACGGGCCCAAAAGAGGUCAUUCCUGAGGGGUUCUUCCCAGAGUUCGUCUCUAGGCCAUCGAAGGCCAAAAGAAGGCCAGAAGAGAUCUCUGAGCUGGCAAUGCCAUGCGCAGAGACAGUAAGGAACCCAGGCGAGGUCUUUCGAGGCCUGUCCACCAGCCACCAAGAAACACCAGGAAGCCCCACUCAUGUCCACCCUGGCCUCAGCACCACUCUUGAAAAUCACUCAGCUGGGAGCCUCGCCCAAGUCUGGCGAGUGCAGGUGGUCACAUCACACUCCCUCUCCGAGCAGCUGGUGCCAGCUUUUCCAGGCAGCCAACCCUUCCUCGGUUCCUCCUUCCUGCGAUCCACCAGGGCCUGCACCUAUGCCCAACAGGCCAGAAUGAUGGGAAGGUAAGUGUUGCCCUCUGCAGCUCUGAGUUCUGGGGAUGUCCCUGUGCCUCCCUCUGUCUCUGUGUGUGUCUCUGAACAGUGCAGUGCUCAUAGGCCAAGCCCAUGGGGUCACUGUAGGAGGAAGUGGGGUCUCCAAGGCAAGCGCUGGCCCUGACCUUAGUCCUGUUGAAGAUCUGCUGCAAUGGCUGUGCUUAUUCUCACUGAUGAUUUUCUUUCCCUAAAGGGAAGCUUUGUCUCCCCCUCACUGAAUCCUGCACUUGGGCAAAGCUAUCCUCUUCGUUGUAAAGGAGAUCAGAGACUCACUCCACAGGGUUCAUACAGCGCAGGAGACCCUAGGGGAUGGCAGAGGGACCAGGCCCACUCUGAUACCUUAGAGGAAGCUGCUGUGUGUCUUUCUUCCCAGCAUAUGCAUGAAGCCCCACUAUGUGCAAACCCUUAUCUAGGCACUGACCAUGACCCAGCGACCAAGGGGGCUUCUAUGCCACUAGGGGGCUAAACAGUCACCUGAGACAGAAGAGCAAGCAGAUCAUGUUCACAGAGUGGUGAACGGGACAGUCUCCUGGCCUCCUGAGACACGAGCAAGUAUGGAGGAAAGGAACCCAGAGGACAGAGAACUAGGCAGAGAAAAGAGCCAAAAAAUGAGAGCUGGGGAGGACCCUCUCUCCCUUAGCUCUCACUUCUCAGACCUGCUUGCAGCAUGUGCCCUGUUCCCACAAAGCCAAUGCCACCACAGACACCUCCCCUUUUCUGAACAGAGGCCACAUGGCAACAGGAGGCACAGGCACAGCGACGGGUGCCACGCUUCCCUGAAGAAGGGAGAGGUGCUCACACCAUGCAUCAAAAGAUACCCAUUUGUCUUUUCCCAGGGCCGUGUCCUUCCUCCUCGACUCCUGGCUAGAGAUGCACGUCCAGGAUGGACCUCCCAGCCCACUGGCUCCACUGCAGCAUCCCCAAGCCCGCUGAAGAAGAGAGUAAGGGUGAUAGGACCGGGCUAUGGGCCCAUGGGUACAUGGGAUAGGAUGGGGCUGGGCAUGCAGUAAGGGCUCCCACCUGCUCCGUUGGCCCGGGAACAGCCCGAGACUAAGUAGUCCGUGGGUGGAUGCACCUGGGAAGACUUCCUGGGAUGGGCUGGCAGACAGAGCUGCCUCGUGGGAGGAACAUGGACAGUAGGUGUUUUCUCUUCUUCUCGCUGCAGGGCCAGCUGCGGCUCAAACUCGAGUACCACCUGCAGAGCCGGUGCCGCCUCUACCUUCAGCCUCCUCACCAGCUGCAGCACUGAAAUGAGAACCAGCUGCAGGAACCACUUCUCCACCAGUUCCACACCUGGGGUCCCUCAUUUCACAGAGGGUGUCACCUCCUGACUGCCCCCUGUGGCCAGCUCCUGACACAUACCCACUCUUCUGCGCCCUGGCUGUUGCACUUCCUGUUGUAUUUACUCAUAUCUUUAAUUCCCAGUUCUCUGUAAAUAUAUUAAUUUUAAAUGUAAUUUCAGAGUUAGUUUUUUGUGAUGGUCAGUGGCAUCAAGUACACUUGCAGUGCUGUGCAACUUCCACAACUGUCCGGUACCAGAACAUCUUCCUGGUUUCCGUACCCAUAUGCAGUCCCUCACCUCUGCCCUAGGCCAGCUCCUGGCUACUGGUCACCUUUCUUUCCCUGUGAUUUACCUAUUCUCAAUUUUUUUCACAUCUGUGAAAUGAGAUUUCUCGUUGGCCACGUAGGAUUGGAGGGGUCUGAUUCAUCUUAGUUUAGGUUAGAAGGGGAUAUAGUCCACAAUUUACAGGUAGAAAGCAAAGCCCCACAAUGAAUAUAAUAUAAUAUAUACCUAUCUAUAGAUAGAUAGAUAUCUAUAUAUAUAUAUAUUUUUUUUUUCGCCCUGGGGCAGGGUUUGGGGUUUCUAGUCUAUGACUUCAGUGAUAAGAAACCACAGGGAAAUGGCUGACUCUUUGCAGGCAAAACAAAAGCAAGAACAAUGUGAACAAUUAUAAUGACAAAUCACAAUGAGAAAUGUUUUUUAGAACCCACACCAUCUUGGAGGAUCAAAUCCCAGGGCUACAAUGAACACUCAGGAAGCUAUCGGUUUAGUAGGAUAAAAGACACUUUUGUAAUGCAAAAUGAAAUUUCAUCGCAGCCUGCAAAGUUAUACAAUGAUCAAUCUGCAGGGCACAGAGGCACACAUUACUGAAAUGUCAUCUGUCCUCUUCACACUAAUAUGUUUUAAGUGUGGCGCCAAUAGAACUGGUAAGAACAUGGAAGGCAGCAGGCCUGGUAGGUCCCUGAAGGACAUGGUUAUGGAAGUUCUUCUCUCAAAGAGCUGUGUGCCAGCUCCUCCGAGUGCUUUUGGUUUUUUUAUGCAUCAGGGAUGGAACUGUAGACCUUACGCUUGCGACACAGGUGGCAGAACCACUGAGCUAAAUCUCAGGCCCUCAUUUGACAGUCUUUGUUUUGCUUUGCUUUUGGUAUUGGUUUUUUUUGGUAUUGGUGACAGCAUCUCACUAUGUACUCCAGCCUGGCCUCAAACUAAGGUCAGUUCCCCUGCCUCAGCUUCCUUACUGGUGGGAUUACAGGCAGGGCCACCACGCCUCACUCCUCAGGCUUUUAAACAUUUACGUUGCUUUUCCUUGCAGAGCUAAUGUUAGCGAUUCUUCUCACAUACACAGCAACACACCUUUUCAAGACUAUUGUUCACAUCCGUAGUUGAAGGAGGCAGCAUCUGGAACCUUCCGUAACAUCUGUGUAUAGGCCACGUGUAUGACAAAAUGAUAUGCAGCUAUUCGGGUGGCUCCAUCUGGCCUCAUAGGGAAAGUAGCCAAGGAAACUGUUAAUGUGAAAAAGAUACAUGAUGUGUGGAUGUCUGCCUGCAUGAAGGAUCUCAAUUUCUGAACGACACAUCUAUGAUGUAAAUCUACACACGUCCCUAUGCUAAUGAAUCUAUGUCAGAAGUAGAGAGACAGACAGGCUGAAGGAGGCAGAGAGAGAGAGAUGCCCAACCAUCGGUAAUGAACAGCUCUUCUGGUUAACUUGUGGAAAAAUAUUGAUAUGUUCACUCAUUUAGAUUCUAAGAGUUUUAUAAUGUGAAUACUUUUAAUCAUAUAUAGAUCAAUGGUAAAAUCUCUUCUUUCGUUCUAAAUGACACGGACCAUUUUUACACCUGGGCUGAAGUGAAUAAACUUUCAAUGAACAUGAGUGUGAAGAAAUCUUUCUAGACUGUGGUUUCAGUUCCUUUACAUAAAUACACAGAGUGGGCUUACUGGGUCCUGUGGCAGUUUCAAUAACUGUGUUUUAAGAAACUUUCAUAUUCUUUUCCAUAAUGGCUGUAUUGAUGCGCAUUGUCACUAACAGUGUACAAGGAUCCAUAAAUUUUCUUUUAUCUUUGGGACCAGGGAUCCAACUCGGGCCCUUGUGCUUGCGAGGCAGGCGGCAGAAUCAGUGAGCCAAACCUCUGGUCCUGAUUAUUGAGUUAAUGUCCUUAUGAGUUGAGAUGUAUUUGACUUUUUAAUGCCAUUUUUUAUUGUCUUCGUAGGUUGUACAUUUGUUAGAGGUUGUCUAUUUCUUCUAGGCUAUCUACAAUCUUAAAAUACAAUUAUUCAUAAUCUCUGAAAUAAUUUUCAUGCAUAAAUAAAUGAUGGUAUGUUCUCUCCUGCAUUUCUGAUUUUAGCAGUUUGAGUCCCCUUUUUUUGGCCAUCGAUCCAGCUAAAUGUAAGUUUUGUGAAUUUGUUGGAAAAAUCAAUUCUGGUAUAAUGUAUUUUGCUAUAAGUUUAUAUGCGUACUCAUAUGUGCUUGGAGAUACAUGAUGUGAUAUUCUAAGUGUGGUGUUCUUUACUAAACUUCUAUUAUGAAAUUGAGAUGGAUAUUGAGAGAUUUCAUUGUUUUCUCCAUCAGCAUAAAAAUUAACAUACCACAUUACAGCACAGAAUUGUGAAGAAUACCAACCAAAUCUUUUUGUAAAUAUUUGUAAGUAGUGGAUAUGGAAAUGGAAUAAAAGAUAUGGAUAUGGAAUAAAUUAUCAAGUUCAUGUACAUAUGCCCACCAGGAAUUAUUUUAAAUGAUUGCCCAAGUAUAUAUUUAGGAGUUUUUUUUUCUAUUACGUCAUUCUCUGGCAUUAGUAACAAUUGCUGAUAGAAAGGUUAAGAACUCAAUAAAGACUGGUAUACUUCUAGACAAUAUGCGCAGUCCAAUUUUUCUCAGAGAUGCUGGGUGAGUUCUGUGUACUAUAGAAUUUAUUGUGUAUAGGUGGGCCUGGUGAUGCGAAAUUCCUCAGACCACAGUUCACCACUCCUUGAUCUAGAGCUUGAUUUGUCAUCAUAUUGAUAUUUACUCUCCUAAGAAACCCUUUGAAAAGGAGCUUAAAGUCCUUAAUGUGAAAGAGAAUUUCCCAGUAUGUUACCAAUGAAUGUACAGUUUUCUUUGGGAAGAUAAACACUGAAAGAAGACAUUGAUUCCAAAGCCCAUAGAUAGUAAG